rnacentral:rRNA from 1 species
GAUGAACGCUGGCGGCGUGCCUAAAACAUGCAAGUCGAAUGCGCUUCGGGCGCAUGGCGAACUGGUGAGUAACACAUUGGAAUCUGCCCUUAUCUCAGGGAUAACCCAUCGAAAGGUGGGAUAAUACCUGAUAGUCCGUGCUUGCACGGUAAAACUCCGGUGGAUAAGGAGGAUCCUAUGUCCUAUCAGCUUGUUGGUGAGGUAAUGGCUCACCAAGGCGACGACGGGUAGCCGGCCUGAGAGGGCGACCGGCCACACUGGGACUGAGACACGGCCCAGACUCCUACGGGAGGCAGCAGUGGGGAAUAUUGGGCAAUGGAGGAAACUCUGACCCAGCGACGCCGCGUGCGGGAUGAAGGCCUUCGGGUUGUAAACCGCUUUCAGCAGGGAAGAAGCGAAAGUGACGGUACCUGCAGAAGAAGCACCGGCUAACUAUGUGCCAGCAGCCGCAGUAA